UGUCGUCAGCUCGUGUUGUGAAAUGUUGGGUUAAGUCCCGCAACGAGCGCAACCCUUAUCCUUUGUUGCCAGCGGUCCGGCCGGGAACUCAAAGGAGACUGCCAGUGAUAAACUGGAGGAAGGUGGGGAUGACGUCAAGUCAUCAUGGCCCUUACGACCAGGGCUACACACGUGCUACAAUGGCGCAUACAAAGAGAAGCGACCUCGCGAGAGCAAGCGGACCUCAUAAAGUGCGUCGUAGUCCGGAUUGGAGUCUGCAACUCGACUCCAUGAAGUCGGAAUCGCUAGUAAUCGUGGAUCAGAAUGCCACGGUGAAUACGUUCCCGGGCCUUGUACACACCGCCCGUCACACCAUGGGAGUGGGUUGCAAAAGAAGUAGGUAGCUUAACCUUCGGGAGGGCGCUUACCACUUUGUGAUUCAUGACUGGGGUG
rnacentral:rRNA from 1 species